rnacentral:rRNA from 1 species
UACGGGGGGAGCAAGCGUUGUUCGGAUUUACUGGGCGUAAAGGGCGCGUAGGCGGUCGUGACAAGUCACUUGUGAAAUCUCCGGGCUUAACUCGGAACGGUCAAGUGAUACUGUCGGACUAGAGUACAGAAGGGGCAACUGGAAUUCUCGGUGUAGCGGUGAAAUGCGUAGAUAUCUGGAGGAACACCGGUGGCGAAGGCGGCAUCCUGGACCGAUACUGGCGCUGAUGAGCGAAAGCCGGGGGAGCAAACGGG